GACAGGAGGGACAGCAGGAGUACCUGAAGCAGCUGCAGCGAAUCAGAGAGCAGUAUCAUCGUGAUGUCAGACGCAUGAGGACGAGGGCGGACGCUCAAGGAAACACACACACUGAAGAAGAACAGAGAGCGACACACACACGGGAAACAGCAGCAG